rnacentral:tmRNA from 3 species
GGGGAUGACUGGUAUCGACGGGAAGCGCUCUUUUAAAAAUGCAAGCCUCCUUUGAGCAGCAGGAGUAAAACAAGUUCAAAAAAACAAAAGACAAUUCUUACGAAGUGUCUCCUUCAGUUGACGGCUUUGCCGUUAACUACGCUUUUGCGUAAAAGAAGGCAUCUAGAUCGUUUUUCCUUGCCGGAACUUUUUAGGUGUAAACAAAGACAAGGUGCAGAUGGAAAGCCCGCUAAACGCUUUUCAUUCAAGCUUGAGUUUAGCAACCUUUAUCUUUCCAGACUAACGGAUCAGGAUAGAGGCAAAAAAGUUAGUCUAAGCUUGUAGAUGUUUUAAAAAGUUCUUUUCGGAUUCCGGUUCAAUUCCGGACAUCUCCACCA